AAAAGAGAAAGGUUAGUCUCCAAAGGACAUAAAUGCCAUGAGUCCAUUAUGCUGCUGAAGUUCUCACUCACUGUGUCCAGUUACACAGGCUCUAGCUCAUAUCUCCUGAAUCUUUUCUCUCCCCUACAUCCUCACUCUUUAGUCUCUCAUUAUCUUUCAUCUUUAGCUAUUGCUGAUCCAUUUCCAGUCUCACACGAUUCCUAUCCAUUUCUCUUGUUGCCUCCAUUUAUAAAACAAUCUUGGCAUCGCUUUUCCCUGAAAAAAAAUCUAUCAGUCACCUCUCAGUUCCUAUAAAUUUCAAACUUAUAGACUCAACUUCCACCCACUUUUUCAAUAAUCUGAACUCUUAUCUUUCCCCACUAAAGUAGUCUUUUUUUCCAACUACACUGAACUAUUCCUUCUUCCUCAAGUAUUCCAGGCACUGGCAUGCCUCAGAGCCAUUGUACAUGUAAAUCCCUCUGCUUGGAAUGAUUUCAACCAUUGGGUCAACAUCAACUACUACCUGGUCAGCUUCUACUCAUCCAUCUAAGCUCUGGCCAAGCAUCCCUCCUCUGUGAAGCUCCUCUGGAUCCCCUGGACUAAACUUUCCUAUUUGGUAUUUCCUUGAGCUCCACACUGGUCUUGUUCAUAGAACUUGCCAUGGUGCUCCCUAAUUGUUUGUAUCUUUUUCUUCCUACUAUAAUGUGAGCAUCUGGAGAGAAGGGAACCAUGUCUUACUCAUCUUCCUACAUCAUCCUCUAUUUUCUCUUACUGCUACUGUCUCUGGUGCACAAUGUUUAUGAAAAGGAAAAACCAAAUAGCACAUUUUUUUUUAAAACAAGUUACUGACCAUUUAAGGACAAUGUCUGGAUUAAAAGGUUUUAGGGAGGAUCACAUGAGAAUAUCCAGUACAUUUUCACACAAAACAGCCAUAAUAGCCCAUUGCCUUAUGUAGAAAAGUGUUAGGCAAACACGUGAUUCCUAUUCCAGGUUUUAACAGUGUAAUACGGGAGAUAUGACAAUGCAUAAGAGGUAAAUAACAGGUGACUACCAAUUUUGCUAGAGGGGCAGGAACAUAUAGAGAAAAGGAGGCAGAAACAUUAAAGGAAGUAUGUAGAAACAUUAUCUGGAGGAUGAUAGAAACAGGUCAAAACCUUUUUAAUAUAUAUUUUUAGUCAUACAUGGAUGCAAU
rnacentral:lncRNA from 1 species